rnacentral:rRNA from 1 species
CCUACGGGUGGCAGCAGUAGGGAAUUUUCGGCAAUGGGGGCAACCCUGACCGAGCAACGCCGCGUGAACGAAGAAGUUAUUAGUAAUGUAAAGCUCUUUUAACAGGGAAGAAAGUGAAUUUGGACGGUACCUGAAGAAUAAGCCCCGGCUAACCAGGAGCCACCAGCUGCGUGAAUACGUAGGGAGCGAGCCUUAGUCGGAUUUCGUGGGCGUAAAGGGUGUGUUGAGGGUGUAGUAAGUCUUUGGUAAAAAUGCUGGGCUAAACCCAGUAGGGCAAACGAUACUGCAAAGCUAGAGUAUGACAGAGGCAAGUGGAACUACAUGUGUAGCGGUGAAAUGCGUAGAUAUAUGUAAGAACACCAGUGGCGAAGGCGGCUUGCUGGGUCGAUACUGACGUUGAGGCACGAAAGCGUGGGGAGCGAACAGGAUUAGAUACCCUUGUAGUC